AUAGUUGCAGUGGGGUAUGAAACAUCAUUUAUUCAUCCACAUGGAGCAAAUACUUCAUGUUCCCAGAUUACUCCAUCGAACAUCAGCAACAUAAAGGAACUAGAACAUGGACUCAGCAGCUGCCACUGUGAGAGGACAUGGACCCCUGGCCAUUGUGCACUGGCAGUAAGUCCAGUGGCUCCUAUUCUCUAGGAGAGUAUUAUAGGGAUUAUGUUAUCCAUAAUUGCGGGAAGGGGCCAAAGUUCAGAUCAAAUAUUCAGAUUCAUACCAGAAAAAUCACACUGGUCCCCGAGGGAUAAGAUUUACACUGAACUACAUAUUAACUGUAGUGAAGAAUCUGUGCUCACAGGAGCUUCCGUUUUAAAGUUUUCUUGAUCUAUGGAUACAUGACCUCUGGAUAAGAGGCAUGAGUGUCGCAAGAGUGUUACAUGAACCCUUACUGCUUUAGAUAUUAAAUAUGUCCCAUGGUGGCUGGAAAAAUGGUUCACUGUUUAACAAUACUGUUUCCAUACACAGAACACACAUGACCUGCAGCAAGCUUCAUCCAUUCUAUUGCCAGUAUUCUACUGAAGAUGCCACAAGCAAAUUACGUCCUACUAAAACAGCUCAUCUCUGUGCUAUUAAAAUUAAAACCUCUACCAGGAAUCACCUAGACACCCUCAUCUUAUCUGUCUGCAUAGCCUCUCAUGUGCUGUGGGAUCCAACUUUUAUGAACUCCUUAUUUGGAAGUGACCUCUCAAAAAAGCAGAAUGAAACAGCUUCAACAUAUAAAUUUUUACAAUGGAAACUUACUCAUGACUGAAGAAGUUGCAGGUCAUUUUAUUACAAUGUUCCCUUCUACCUUCCUCUUAACCAUAUCAAAAGAGAUUGUUACAAGAAACAACUUCAGUUUUAUAUUUAAUCAUAUUAUUUAUUACAUAGUUUCACUCACUAUUUAUUUUAU